CCUUUGGUAGCUCAGAUGGUAGAGCGGUGGACUGCAGAUCCUUAGGUCACUGGUUCAAGUCCAGUUCUAAGGA